CCGCUCUAAUUCCUCCUCAGGAUCUUUCAGAGCGGCGGUGCUUUUGCCGUUUUUCCUCUGGUAAUUGAGAUGGAGCCUUCUAAACCUUGGCUCGACUCAGCCUGAUCUCGUGCUAUUCAUGAUACAGAGGCGGCCCACAAAUGAUACUUGAGAAAAACUUCGAGAGAGAGAGAGAGAGAGAGAGAGAGAGAGAGAGAGAGAGAGAGAGAACUGCCGGCAAUGCCACACACACAGUACUGUGGAAUGUGCGGACAUUGUGUUUCACUGCCAUGGUUACUCGCUCGGCCUGGCCGUUGUGAAUGUUGAUGAAUUUCAUACCACGGCUAACCAAAGCCUCAUAAUGCAUAUGUGCAUAGAACACUUUCAACUUGAAUAAUUCGUACUUUCACUUCUAGCAGUAUCCGCAGGAACCCGUGUUACACUCUGGAUAUGUUGAACACGUCUAGGUACGUACGUGAUUGAUUGUAAAUAGGGAUAAUCACUUUAUAUGGUCAAAAAAAUGGCAGAAAUUAUAGAUUACUACUUAAGUUGUUUUACAACAAAUGGGCUGUAGAACAGGGAAUGAAACCUGAUUCACUCGUUCGAACCAUUCGAGUCGCACAGACGACUGGUCGACUCCGUGAAGGAGCGAGAUUGCUGGCGUCACGCAGACAGUUGCCAAGGAACCGCCACAGGUUACGGACGCAAUGAUAGUGUUUGUACCGCAAAGAAUAUACGUGGAAAGGACGCAUAGGUGCAUCAUCAUAAUAUACGUGCAGCCAUGUGUCACGAGCACGGCACAACCAUAGCCAGGCAAGACUAACCGGGGCUCGCUACCAAUAGAAUGUGCAGAGAGUCUUUUCCACGGCGAUGCUGAGUAGGAGACGCGGGCCGCCUUGGCCUCCACGCCUGCAGGCAAGACAAAAGCACACCAACGUUCAAGACAAGAAUGUAACAUCACAUCAGGUCGGCAAGGGAAGCUUGACAUGACAAGAAGGGCAUAAUAAAUCAACUGCUUACUGCCAGUGCGAUACAAAUGGAAAUAGAAACACAACUGAAUAGGUAUGCAUGAUACCUGCAUGUUUAUUUUUUCUGUCGUUGAAGAUAAGCCUAAGGCAACAUUAUCCAAAAUGUCCAAAGGCAUACUGAAGUCAAAAAAGAUGUCUGUGAAUGACCAUGUUUACUGAAUCUAAAAAUAAAGAAUAAUUUUAGAAAGUGAGGACUUAGAAAAUUAACCCCACCGUCAGCACAGUUCACAUAAAGAAACUUCUCUACACAAAGGCUGCUUCUAACCGUUGUCUCCCACAACAACAGCACCGCAGCUUCAGCUCCAGGCCCUGGAAGUCCUCCGGCAACCAAGCCCGGUCCCCUUUGCUGGGCCCGUCGCUCUUCACAAACACGUGUUUGGUCCCACACUCAUAAACGGUUCGGCGCCAGCCACACUGGCGUCCUCUAUUUUUCAAGACCUAAAUAACACGUUCUCCCUCAUCUACGUUAUUUCUUUUGUUUCAUAU